UACCGGAUACUGACCUGCCGAGGCUCUCGGCGGGUCGAAGCUCCGGCGGUGCAGGAUGAGCCCGCGGCCUAUCAGCUUGUUGGUGAGGUAAUGGCUCACCAAGGCGACGACGGGUAGCCGGCCUGAGAGGGCGACCGGGCACACUGGAGUGGACACCCGGCUAGGACUCCUACGGGAGGCAGCAGUGGGGAAUAUUGCACAAUGGGCGCAAGCCUGAUGCAGCGACGCCGCGUGAGGGAUGACGGCCCUUCGGGGUUGUAACCUCUUUCAGCAGGGAAGAAGCGAGAGUGACGGUACCUGCAGAAGAAGCGCCGGCUAACUACGUGCCAGCAGCCGCGGUAAUACGUAGGGCGCAAGCGUUGUCCGGAAUUAUUGGGCGUAAAGAGCUCGUAGCGGCUUGUCGCGUCGGUUGUGAAAGCCCGGGGCUAACCCCGGGUCUGCAGUCGAUACGGGCAGGCUAGAGUUCGGUAGGGAGAUCGGAAUCCUGGUGUAGCGGUGAAAUGCGCAGAUAUCAGGAGGAACACCGGUGGCGAAGGCGGAUCUCUGGGCCGAUACUGACGCUGAGGAGCGAAAGCGUGGGGAGCGAACAGGAUUAGAUACCCUGGUAGUCCACGCCGUAAACGGUGGGCACUAGGUGUGGGCAACAUUCCACGUUGUCCGUGCCGCAGCUAACGCAUUAAGUGCCCCGCCUGGGGAGUACGGCCGCAAGGCUAAAACUCAUAGGAAUUGACGGGGGCCCGCACAAGCGGCGGAGCAUGUGGCUUAAUUCGACGCAACGCGAAGAACCUUACCAAGGCUUGACAUACACCGGAAAGCAUCAGAGAUGGUGCCCCCCUUGUGGUCGGUGUACAGGUGGUGCAUGGCUGUCGUCAGCUCGUGUCGUGAGAUGUUGGGUUAAGUCCCGCAACGAGCGCAACCCUUGUCCCGUGUUGCCAGCAACUCUUCGGAGGUUGGGGACUCACGGGAGACCGCCGGGGUCAACUCGGAGGAAGGUGGGGACGACGUCAAGUCAUCAUGCCCCUUAUGUCUUGGGCUACACACGUGCUUCCAUGGCCGGUACAAUGAGCUGCGAUACCGCAAGGUGGAGCGAAUCUCAAAAAGCCGGUCUCAGUUCGGAUUGGGGUCUGCAACUCGACCCCAUGAAGUCGGAGUCGCUAGUAAUCGCAGAUCAGCACUGCUGCGGUGAAUACGUUCCCGGGCCUUGUACACACCGCCCGUCACGUCACGAAAGUCGGUAACACCCGAAGCGGUGGCCCAACCCCUGUGGGAGGGAGCUGUCGAAGGUGGACUGGCGAGUGGACGAAGUCGAAGCAUUGAGUUGGCAAGG
rnacentral:rRNA from 1 species